GGAACAUGGUGGACAGAGCCAUGUGGCCAGCUCCUCUCUGUCCUCGCCUGGCUGAGCACAAAUCUGGGGCCACCUGUCUUGUCUGUUGCACGAUUCAGUAGCUGAGUACCACCAGGAAGAGUACCAUCUACAGUCUGAAAGAGGUGAGGUCAGACGGGCUCUGUUUCAUGUGGACAACUGGAGGAACCAAUCCUGACUGCUUAUGAGCAGGUCUCCCCGACUAAAAUUUGUGGUGCCUGUUGGUCUCUCUUCCCUAUCCUCUCCACCCCAACCGGCUGAGGCAGAUGGCCGUCCUCCCUGAGCUGAAUUCUGUUGGAGCUUUAACUUCCUGUUAGUUUUUUUUUUCUUUCAGCUGCUGCCCGCCACCCCGUGCAUACUCAGGAUGGGGGAUUGAACUGAAGUCAAUAUUCGAUGCAACCCAUUGGUUUCCUUAGCUAGGCUAUUAUUACCUCCACCAAGGUGGAGGUCAUGUAUUCGGAGGAGUUGGUUGGUCUAUCUAUCCUGUUAGCAGCAUAUCUCAAAAAUGGAUUUUGAUUAAAUUUUCAGGAAAUCUUAAAAAUGGAAAAAAAAGUUAUUAGAUUUUCAGGGUGAUCUGGAUCACUGCCUGGAUCCAGGAAUGUUUUUUAAAGGAUUCUUUAAUAUAGGGAGAUAAUGUUGUCAUUAGAGGCAUACUAACUCAAAAAUAAAAUAAUGCCCACAAUGGGCAAAACAAAAAUUACAAUGGCUUAGCGGAUGUCUGUGUUCUCUAAGUGCUUCUAGUUUUUCAUGAUUUGGCUUGUGUGACUACUGAUUGGAUCACAAUUCAUUGACUUAAAUAGAUUUGUCUGUGACAUGA